ensembl:lncRNA
GUACACAAUGAGGAGGGAGCAGCUGCUCACUUUCCAAGGGUCCCAGAGGCCUCAGACCAGGGAGGGAGAUAGAAAGCUGCAGACAGACAGUUUUAAGUCCUUCAUCUUUAUUCAUUUAAUCAUCAAUGUACAUUAAGCACCACCUCUGUGCUGGCUUCGUGGAAACCAUGGCUAAUAUAAUGAUUCUUGGGUCAAGAAGCAAACCAGGACUGGAAUUAAGGCCAAGGGCGAGGCACAGGGCAGAUGCCAAGAGUGUUUUCCGGAGUCCUGUCCCACGAAGCAUCUUACAGCUGGAAGCACCUGCUUGCUGAGUUCCUAUCGAUGUGGCUGGUUGUGAAGCUCUGAGGAGGAAUGACCCUUGGCCAUUUCCACUUCCUUGGCAUUUCUUCUAACCCCAAGCAUCCUGAAGCAAGCUCUUUUGGGUGCCCUAUUCCUAUUGUACCGGCCCUCGGAGUCCUUUCCUGCAGUAUCUUUCCAUGUACACAGGAAAGAUGAUUCCAUCUCCAGCACAGGGUCAGUACUGAUUCAUCGAAGUGGCUCAUGGGAAUCUCAUCAUUAUAUAUAGUCAUAUACUUGGGUGUGCCCAUGUUACUUGGAUGGGCAGUACUGGAAAAUUUCCCCUUGUUCUUAAACUAGUGACUUACUAUUCUUUUCCAGCCAUUUUUGUAUCUGGAUGCGCUAUCUGGGCCUGUGGUAGUUAUCGUGUAAAUACUAGAGAGCCAGCCAGGGGAGAAGGCCCCUAUUGGGAACAUGGCCAAGCAAAAUGAUAAAGAAUGGAGAGACCUGUUGUGGUAUCAUGGAGUCCCUGGCUUAACCCACCUUGGAGCCACCUGCUUUGUGGACCCACUGCCAUGUAGGAUGAUGAGAUGUUCCUAAGACUGCGAGUUUGGGCCUUCAGGUACCUGCAAGAGAAAGGAUUCUUACUAACCUACCCCAUGUCUUUCAGAAAAGCUGAUGCUCCAGGAAGAUGCACAAUAGUAAUGUCAUGAAUUUGUCCUUCUUCCCCCCCACCACGUGUCUUCAAACCCCUGAGAUAAUGAUACCUGCAUUUGAGAAACUCAACCACCACCUUCCUCAUGGUGAUUUUAAGGUCUGGUCGGAUCUAGGUCUUGCUGGAGGGCUGGCUCGUGUCGGCCCCACAGAAUGGAUGGUGGACAAAGGGGUGGCAGCUGUCCUAGGAAGCUCUCCUCAUCAUGGUGGCAGAGCCCAGAAGGGCAAAUCCAACCUUGAAGUGCACCUUCAGUUCUUGGUGUGUUGCAUCUACUCAUGUCCCCUGGGCACGAGCACAUCACAAGUCGCAUGCCUGAACUGAGCAGCAAUGGGGCAGGGAGGUGGGUGCUCCCGAUGAGGGUUGGGGUGGGGAGAGAGUGCUCGGUAUCCCUGUAGGAAUGCUGUUGUGGUUACCCAGGUGCGGGUGUUCCAGUUCCUUAAUGCUCCUGUACCCUGGACAGGACACCUUGGUUACUAGGACCUUUGUACUGAAAACUCUCCUUUGGGGAGCACUUGAAGGUUUUGAUUCUUCCUUUGAAAGCAGCUCCCAGAGAUGACUUAGCAGCUGGGGCAUGUUUCCUCUGCGCAUCUGAGCCCCGACUGGCUCCCCUGGAGACAGGGCAUGAUUGCAACUACACGCUCGGGCAAGGGGCUAUAGUAGGAGCGAUUGGAAACCCUCAAAACAGCGUGAUUGUUUCUAGGGCCGAAAUAGAAUCAGUAAAAGGCCCGAAGAGACGAAGACCUCACCUAUGCUGGUGGUUUUGGAACUUCUCGGCUCCUAAGUUCUAAGGAGCAGAGCCCCUUCCUUAACGUCUUCUGCGCUUGCCCUGCUGCAAGCCUGGAAGGAGCAGUUCUGAGUGAGGUGGCCCAGGCUGGAUGGCAGCAUUCGGGUGUCUGUCCUGCCUGGCCUGUGGCCAGGGAGCCCCUCUGACUUCAGGAGAACAGAGCUUUGGUCACCAGGGACCCGAGGACACAGGGGUCACCUUCUCGGGGCCUCUGCAGACUCAGAUGUAAGGUGAAGCUGUGGGAGGUUGAUGUCAAAGGGUGCCUGGUGUCGUCCUCACCUGGGUGACGCCUGUGAUUCCCUUGGUCCGGGAUCAGCCUCUGACAUCGCAUGUCCCAGCUUCUUGGUGGGGGGGGGGGGGGGUGGAGGGAGAGCAAAGUAAAUGUUGGCCCAGGGGCAUAAGAAGGGCAGUCGG